GAUACAUGUAUACAAGCAGGUGUUUUCUAUAUUAUGAAAACAUUUGGAGAAAAAUGAUUAACUUAUUGCAGUCCUUUUCUUUCAGCUGCUUUUCUAACCCAAACUGUAUGUCUUGAUGACACUACAGUAAAGUUUGAAAUAUGGGAUACAGCUGGUCAAGAACGAUACCAUAGCCUAGCACCAAUGUACUACAGAGGAGCACAAGCAGCCAUAGUUGUAUAUGAUAUCACAAAUGAGGAGUCCUUUGCAAGAGCAAAAAAUUGGGUUAAAGAACUUCAGAGGCAAGCAAGUCCUAACAUUGUAAUAGCUUUAUCAGGAAACAAGGCCGACCUAGCAAAUAAAAGAGCAGUAGAUUUCCAGGAAGCACAGUCCUAUGCAGAUGACAAUAGUUUAUUAUUCAUGGAGACAUCCGCUAAAACAUCAAUGAAUGUAAAUGAAAUAUUCAUGGCAAUAGCUAAAAAAUUGCCAAAGAAUGAACCACAAAAUCCAGGAGCAAAUUCUGCCAGAGGAAGAGGAGUGGACCUUACCGAACCCACACAACCAACCAGGAGUCAGUGUUGUAGUAACUAAACCUCUAGUUUGAACUAGCUGGAAUAGUCUUCUGCUUCCUAAAUGUUAAUAACAAUGGAAUUGGAGCAUUUAACCAGCCCAGUAUGACUUCCAAAAGAAGAGACUUAUGAUAGAGUCAAGUUUCUAAUACGGAAUUAUUUUAAGUGUUUUGAACUUAAUUUUUAAUAACAUGCAUGGGUCCCUCUCACUAAUGUUUCAACAAUAGGGAAAAAUGAGAACUAUGUGGACACUUGUUUCAUUGGAAGGUUAGGGGGAAUAAUUUCUCAUCACUAGGAAUAUAGACAAAUGACUGUCUGGA
rnacentral:sRNA from 1 species